CUGCAGGCAGGACAGUCCUCUUCCCGGGCUCACCGCAACAUUCAGUAGCUGCUUUGAAGGAACAGAAUAAGGUUGCCACAUGCCAGUCUGUCCUCCGAUCACUUCAGGGUUCCACUCACCGUGGGUUCAAGGCUUCUUUGAUUCUUUGUUUCCUUUAGUUUUCAUUCUCUCCUCUUCAGAACAAGAGUAGAUGGUUCGGUGUAUGCAAAUAUCACAGUUCCAGAAACCCACACCUGUGACUGAUGGGAGUGGUGGACAAAUACCCACAACUUCCUCUCUCUACUCUUGGCUGAGGACAAUUCUGAAGUGAGCCCUACACUGUCUCCCAGAUGCAGUCUGACCUGAGCCAUGAAGAAGUGCAGAGUCCCCAAGAGGCCAGAGAGCUCACGUCUGGUUAGAGUCGGGGUGUUUGAUGGGAAGAUGAAAGGAGGAGCUGGCAUCUGAGGCCUCUCCUUGGUGUCUGCUGUCCACGAGCACAGCCCUGUCUUCAGAGCCAGGGGAUCAGGAAACAGCAUGGGUCAUGUUGAGAGACACAAGCUCACCUCUGCCCACAGGACGAAACAGCCUGGCGGGCACAGGCCUCACAUCCAACUCCUGGGGGUCCCUAGCCUGCCCUCCCUGACCCUCCAUCCUCACCCAGAUCCUCCGCUGCUCCCCGGGAGCCCUCGGCUUGCACAGCUUUCACCUGGGCUGGGAAAGUCUCUCUUCUGCACACUCGCUGCCAUGUUUGCCAAGCACCAGACCUUUAAGUACCAUGUACCAUUUUUUUUUCAU
rnacentral:lncRNA from 1 species